UACGAAGGGGCUAGCGUUGCUCGGAAUCACUGGGCGUAAAGCGCACGUAGGCGGAUCCUUAAGUCGGGGGUGAAAGCCUGUGCUCAACCACAGAAUUGCCUUCGAUACUGUCGGGCUUGAGACCGGAAGAGGUAAGUGGAACUGCGAGUGUAGAGGUGAAAUUCGUAGAUAUUCGCAAGAACACCAGUGGCGAAGGCGGCUUACUGGUCCGGUUCGUGACG
rnacentral:rRNA from 1 species